GGUGGCGGGCGGGGAUCCGCCGGGCGGUCCAGGUUCGCGCUUCCCAGGGAGGGAGUCGGUGGUUCCCGGGACUCGCGGGAACCAGGGAAGGAAGCGAGGACACUUCCUGGGCGCGCGCAUUCCGGGGAUUGGGGGUGCGAGCAGAACCCCUCAGUCGCGGCGUGAGGAGGUGGCCCCGGGAGUUGGGGGUCUGCAGGACAGUUAUUUGGAGCAGCGUCCAGAUUUGGCCCUUGAACUUUUUAACUGGACCCUGCGCUGCCCUUGGGCCCGGAGAAGUCAGUCGUUAUUAAUAGUUACAGGGGCAGGUCCACAGCCCCUUACACGGACUGUCCCACCUUGAAACUGUAGCUAAAAACCAUGGAGGUUGAGCCUCGUUCACUCUCAGGAGGAGGAUGCAGCCCCUGAGAGGAGUACACGCCUGAGGCGCCUGAGUCCGAGCGCGGGGACAUCCUUCCUGUGGCCAGACUGACGGACACGACCCACCGGAGGGGGCUGUCACUUUUCAUCUCUUAGCAAAGGCCAACCUGAAUUUUCACUUUGGCCCUGAAAUGUGCUUCGUUUUCUAUGAAGUCAGAGGCGGACUACGAUGGCCUCCCACACCUUCCCCCUUUUGAGGCUUAUGAUCUCUUCUUAUAUGAACUGGGACCAGUAUGUAUUUUCUGUCAUUCAUUUGAUAACACCCAUUUUGCACCUUCCCUGUCUUCUCUAAGUAUGGGUUCCUGCCCAGAGUUGCAGCUCUGGAUCUGGGAAGAAUCCUUGAGUGCAGUAACCCCAGCCCCACCCCAACAAUUACUGAUCAACUCUGGGCAACUUCCAUGGCACAUGGCCACCUUGCCACAAAAGGGAUAAAAAGAAGAGUGACCUUUAGCCCUGGUGCCCUGGACAGUGAAAAUAGUGGAAAACAGAAGCUCGGGUCACAUUUAAAUAAAAAUGCAAGGCUGACUCGGAUUAAGUGAGCACUCUAUAAAUGUUAUCAAAAUGUGAAAAAAGGGAGCUCUUUAUCGGAGGUAAAGAGACAGAGGCUGAAUGUAAGAUGGUGACACGCCCCGAUCCCGUGCUACCCCUGGAUCGUUCCUUCUGUAACCCCUGAGUGUGGUGGUUUGGGUCAGCAGGAUGGCCUACUCCUAGGGUCUGAGAGGUCCCUCAGAGAAGGUGAUGUUUGAAUUUGGAUCCAGUUCACAUGUGAGAUCGGGCAUCUCAGGCCAGGCAAUAGCAUUAGGACUCGAUUACAACAGUUCAGGCCUGAGGCAAUGAAACUUGGAAUUGGCAUUGAGAAUGGAAAAAGGGUCAAGUGCGAGAGACAUUGAGGAGAAACUGGUUUUCAGAUUU